AAAAUGAUGUCAUUUUCCAAAUGACAGAGCGCAAAACUAAAUCAACGUUCCGUUAAAAGGUGGUACGAACAUUGUUAUUGAUUCUUACAGAGCAAUUAUUACCAAAGUCAACAAUCCUUGGGUCUCUUUGGAAAUUGCGGAAUUCUUAAAGCUAUUGUUGGGUUUUAGCAUCGGGUGCCAAGCUGACAGGAAGCUGGAAGGAAUUCAAAAUCUCUUAGUUUGCUUGAGUCAGGGACUUGAGUUGUCGACUUUUGAAACUGCCUUCGAAAAUCACGACGUACUUUAAAUCCAACCUGUUGAUGGACUGGAAAUGAUCAUGCCGGGAAGAACAAGUGUUACUCUAAGAUUCCUUGUGGCUUUUAUCGGUGUUACCCUUGCCGUGUUUAUCCAAGAAAAUGACAACAUGGAAUCAGAAGAAGGAUACGCAAAACUAUACAACGAAAGCUCAGUGUUUCACCCCGAUGGUAACGGUGAUUAUUUGGUGCGAAUACUGACUGUCGGGGGAGGGGCUGGGGGCUGCGGAGGCUUGAGCGGCCCACGGCCAGGUCAGCGUGGGCAGAUAUCGAUUGACAUCAAGUUCAUCCAGGGAAAGACACCCAUCAACGUCACAGUAGGGAUGGGUGGUGCUGGUUCGUUGGUUGGGCGGUAUAGCGGCGGCGGCGAUUCGUCAUUCGGAGGAUAUGCAGUAGCUUCAGGAGCCUUACCUUGCCUUCCUGAGUUCAAGAAAAUGCCAUUCUAUCGAAACAGGGGUUUGCAAAUGUUCAUAUGGAGCUCGUUCACCAGAGGAGACAAAGGGGAGGCAGUAUUGCAUCUCGAAGGCGGCGAGGGAGGAAUUCUUAUCAAUAACACAGGCCCUCCACGAGUAUCAAGUAUACCGAACACAGCCGGUGGAAGAGGCUUAGGAUACGGCGCCGGCGGGGGGUCGGGUGGGAGAGGAAUUGACAGCAACACAUCUUCCCCGUGCUGCAAAGGCACGGAUGGGGCGUCUGGCGUGGUGUAUAUUGAAGUCAGACCGAAAGUUUGCCGCAAAAAGAUCGACGUCGUUUUUGCUAUUGAGCUCCGCACUACAAAGGGUGAAAUAGAAUAUCAAAAGAAAGCGGCGGAAGAUUUAGUUGGGGCGAUGAAAAUAGGAGAACACUAUGGCAGGGCAGCGGUUGUGGUAUACAGCGAAACUGCCGCACAAAUUAUCGGAUUCGUGAAAUCCGAAAACGAGACUUCCUUGACGAGAAAUAUUCUGGAAAAGGACUUCGGCUCUUCUGUUAAAAUAAACGAGUCUGGCGUUAUUUUCUCCAAUCUAUACGCAACGGUGGAUGUUAUCUGGAACAUGUCCUCACGCGAAAAUGUUCUGAGAACGCUAGUACUGUUCACAUAUUCCGGAAAAGUUAAAGCGAGUGAUGCGGGAUGGUUUGCGGAGAAAAAGCGAGAACUUCAAAACAGCAAUGUCAAUAUCAUAGCGGUGGGACUUGGGACUGCUAGGGCAGAAGAUCUAAUCAAAUUGGUCACUUCAUCGGAUUAUUAUCACGUGGAGAAUAGGUCGCUUGCUCUUGUCGACUUUGUGCCUUGGAUUGCCGAUUUAGCCUGUAAUGGCCAGAAACCAUACCGUCCUUAUGCACCCCGUCCCACAAUUACAGUUCACCCAACAGCAACUCCAGAACAAGCCCAGACCGCAACACCUAGCCCUACAGCCGUCCCCAUGGUAACCGUUACCAGGAGAGCCACGCAAACAACUAGUAAAGUACCAGCACCGCAAGCCACCUCUAUAACAGCAACCAUUGGGUCUGCUCCAUCCUCUAACGAUGCUGUGGCACACACCACCGAAGUGACUGUACCCACUUCGACAGAGUCUGAGGUUUCGUCUACCAAAGCACUUCCCACUGUCGUAGACAAGUUAACAACGACGCAGUCACCUCCUAAGACAAUGGAAGAGCUGACAAAAGAUUUCGAGGAUCUUAUGAAUUACGAUCAGGAGAAGAUGGACGUUGAAAAUGCAACAGAGAUAGAGCGAGUUGUGGGUCUCGUUUAUAGUAUUCUCACAGAAGGACAUCGCCUUCAGAACGCAACUCAGGAAGCACCCGAACUUCAAGUGUUAGAAUUCGCCGAAGAGUUCGGCCUUCAGAUGGCGCAGAGAAUGAGACAUGACAAGGAAGGCGUUGCAAGUCAUCACUUCUCGCAAGAUACCAUGGGUUUUGCUGUGGUCUCUGUUAACAUGACUGUCAUUUCAUCUGAUAAAAAGAGUCUUCGUUUGACCGAACUCGUAGGCGCAGACGACAGUGAUCCGUUAAUGGUUUCGGAUGCGAUAAUUCCGAUGGAUGUCUUCAGCAAGAGCCCAGAAAGUAACGCUGGUGUAGUGUGGCUCACUUACCCUCAUCCUCAUUUCAUGGAAUACGAUAAUCGGACGAACAUUAGCAGUCACGUGAUGGCCGUUGUGGUGUCGCCUAAAGUGACGUCACGAUUUAAAGAACCAGUAGAACUUGUUUUUAAGUUCCCUCAGUCUAACAGGGAAGAUGUUGUUCGAGAGUGUGCCUUCUGGGACAUAACGAAACGUGAUGGUAGCCCGCAUGGAUCCUGGUCAAUUGAAGGGUGUAGACUGGGACCGAGGAACGCAACGCAGAUCACGUGUUACUGCGAUCACCUGACCAACUUUGCCAUACUAACAAGACUAAAAGCAAAGGACCCUACCGUUCACGACGACUACCUGACGUACAUCACAUUUAUCGGCCUUGGACUGUCAAUUGCCGGCUGUGUCCUGACGAUCCUAACUCACCUAUUCCUUCCGAGUCUUCGGUCAGAGCGAGUUUUCAUUCACAUUAACCUAGUCACUGCCAUACUUUUUGCGCAAAUACUUUUUAUUGUUGGUGCAACGCACAGAGAGCCUCAAAGCCUGUGCCUCAGUGUAGCCGUGCUACUGUAUUUCUUCUACAUGUCCGUGUUCACGUGGAUGUUAGUGGAGGGCAUCCAUAUCUACUGCCUUGUCAUAAGAGUCUUCAACUCCGGUCGAGGCAGAAAGAAGAUCUACACAGUUAUCGGUUGGGGUUUACCAGCUCUUCUCACCCUGUGUUGUGCCUCGGCGUUCCGCUGGAGUUUCUAUACACCAGACACUUGCUGGCUGUCUCUGGAGAGUGGAGCAAUUUGGGCCUUCGUAGCCCCCGCGCUAGUAGUUAUCGCGUUCAAUUUGGUGAUCCUGUUUAUGGUUCUGCGAGUGACAGCAGUCAUGCUGAAGGACGAGUCACAGACCAGCUCAAAGGCGUUAGUUAAGGCGUUCGUCACGCUUCUACCUAUCCUUGGUCUAACAUGGCUCUUUGGCUUCUUGGCGUUCAACAACAAAACUGUCAUGUUUGAGUAUCUUUUCGCUAUCUUCAACUCCAUGCAGGGCUUCCUAAUCUUCGUCUUCUAUUGUCUGCUGAGUUCAGAGGUGAGGAGAGAGUUUCUUAGGAAAAUCAGGAACCUCGAAAUGAAACGGAGCCUGCGGAACUCAUACAACCCUUCAGGAACAACGCCAAACACUCCCAGGAUGCAGAUGGAAACCAAGAAAAGUACGGUGCCUGAGUUAAAAGCGCUAAGAGAGCUAUACCAUACUAGGCUAUAACAUCAACAACGCUAUAGCAUUUAUAGUAGUAUAUAGGCUAUAAUAUAAACGAGGCUAUAGUAUCUAGACUAGGUUAUAGGCUAUAAUAUAAACGAGGCUAUAGUAUCUACACUAGGUUAUAGGCUAUAAUAUAAACGAGGCUUUAGUAUCUACACUAGGUUAUAGGCUAUAAUAUAAACGAGACUAUAGUAUCUACACUAGGUUAUAGGCUAUAAUAUAAACGAGGCUUUAGUAUCUAGAUUAGGUUAUAGGCUAUAAUAUAAACGAGGGCUAUAGUAUCUAAACUAGGUUACUAUAAUAUAAACGAGGCUAUAGUAUCUAUAGUAUUCAAUAGGCUGUAAUUUAUCAACAAGGCUAUAGUAUCUAAAGUAGGCUAUAUCAUUAAUAAGGCUAUAGUAUUUAUAGUAGGUUAUAGGCUAUUAUAUCAAUAAGGCUAUAGAGCUAUCAUAGGGGAUGGGUCUAAGUUCAUGUAGCCUUUAAAUCUAGAUCUAUCUAAUAAAAACAAAAUAUUUUAAGGUUUCAAACGAUAUGGUUUGGCUAUGAAACCAAACGCACCAAAAGUCUCAGAGUCGGAGAUCGAAUACUAUUGGUCAUUACUUAUGUUCUAAAAGUCAUUACUUAUGUUUUAAUAGGUAUAAAAUCAGGAAGUAGUAUGACGCGCAUAUCACGCGUAGCUUUAUAACUCCAUGAGUCAUUCGACUCACUUUUAUUUUGUAGAUAGUCAUGAAAAAAGUUGUUAACUUCAUAAUUCCAUGAGUCAUUCGACUCUCUUUCAUUGUGUAGUCAUGAAAGAAGUUGUUUCUUUUCAACUAAUCUUGACUUUAGGUUUAGGCGGUUUGGGCAGAGAUAGAUACUCUAUAUAACACGUCAGGGCUGUUUUUAAUCGGGAGGUCUUAUCAAAGAGUUGUAGCCUGCGGAAAACGCUCUCGAAAAGCGGCCCAUAAAAAGCUCCCGGAAAUGCCGUUCUAGUAUAGUAGUGCUCGACCAAAAAUAGGGAGAUUGGUGUUUCUCCGUUUUUCAUGCAACUAAGCUCAGCUAAACAAGACCGGUUUUUCGUCUUUCAUGCAACAAGCGCGCUGAACAGGCUAAAGACUGAUGGCUUCUACCCCAAUUGUGGUGUAGCUAAAUUGACUGCGCAAAUGGGCUGAGUCUACUAUAAAGCAUAGGCAGACAACAAAUUUUAGACAACAAUCUUUUACAAAGAUUAUUAUCUUUUAUUAGUUUUUUAAAGAGCCGUAGUGAGCCACACCAUUAUUACUGUUUUCAUUCAAAUAGAAGACAAAUUACGCUAAGAAAUAAUCCUCUUUAAAACAUAGCGUUGUACUUUUUUUUAACAAAUUCAAUCGAAUAUAUCACAAUAGAUUCUUUAAGUCAUUUACUAGCACGAUGAUAUUGGGAGAUAGAGACUCUUUAAAGUUGAGUCCAAAUUUUCUAGAAUAAAAUCUGCCCCUUGGCAAACAAGGAAACAUAGACGAAGCUUACAUAUUGUAAAUAUCGAUGUAUAUAUUUUCUAUUUGUCCGAUUGCAUAUGCUUUAAGGCAUUUAAAAA